rnacentral:lncRNA from 1 species
GGGGGAGAAUGUAAUACCCGGCUAGACUCCGGUAUCGGAAUUCCUACUGUCCGGUGGAAUCUCGGAUGUCGAAACCCUCUAGAAGGGUAAAAUUAUGUUUUUCCAAAAUGUUUUCAUGUAUUUUAUGAUUUUAAGUAAGAAAGAAAUUGAGUUUUGAAAGAAAAAGACCAUUGAAGGAAAUCCAGGUUCGGCCGCCGAACAUGGUGCAGUUUAGGGAGCACCUUUGGCCUCCGAAGGUGGCCUGGCCAGCCACCUAUAAAAGG